AUUGAACGCUGGCGGCAGGCCUAACACAUGCAAGUCGAACGAGUGGCGGACGGGUGAGUAAUGUCUGGGAAACUGCCCGAUGGAGGGGGAUAACUACUGGAAACGGUAGCUAAUACCGCAUACCAUCGGAUGUGCCCAGAUGGGAUGAGCUAGUAGGUGGGUUAACGGCUCACCUCGGCGACGAUCCCUAGCUGGUCUGAGGGGAUGACCAGCCAGACUGGAACUGAGACACGGUCCAGACGCCUACGGGAGGCAGCGAGGGGGAAUAUUGCACAAUGGGCGCAAGCCUGAUGCAGCCAUGCCGCGUGUAUGAAGGAGGCCUUCGGGUUUUAAAGUACUUUCAGCGAGGAGGCGUUACUCGCAGAAGAAGCACCGGCUAACUCCGUGCCAGCCGCCGCGGUAAUAC
rnacentral:rRNA from 1 species